UUGGGUAAUUAUUAUGACUUUCUAUUUGCCGUGGCUUCCAGUAGGCUCAGCAACAUCUGUGCUCAAAGGGAAAAACUCCUUUUGGUUUUUGUUCUGGAGCAUCUAUAUACACUUAUUUUUUACUUAGUCCUGAGAUUUUUGUUUUUCUUUAUUGUCAUUUCAUGUGUUCUGUUGUAUGUAUAUACUUUGUCACAUCUGCUCCAAAUAUUUUGGGGGAAUAGAAAUAGUGAAAAUAAAGAAAUAAUGCUCUGCCGAAACCGUCACAAAAGGUGCUUCAAAUACUAUAAAAGGAUUCCUACAAGACGUUGAAUGUACAAAGAUCAAUAAGGGGUCAGAAGCUCUAUACAAUAUUCAUUGGGUGUAUGAGUGAUGCUGCUGAUUAAGACUUUUUGCUUUCCGUUCUCAUAUUUGCCCUCAAAAAAACUGCAUCUUCUAUAAAUAGGUUUUGGGAACCCUUUUUUUCCUUCUUACCUCUGCGAAGGUGGGAAUAGCUUCUGCUGGUAAGAAUGGUAGUGAACACUUUCACAUCUGUCCCUUUUCUCUUUUCUCCUGCUUCAUAUAAUGCCUGUCAAGAAACACAAAAAUAGACGCUUGACCACCUGCUGACUUAAUAUCUGCACAAGAAUGUUAAGAUUUUCUAGGCAUCUGCCUUGUAUCCAAAGGAUCAGAAAACGAUGCUAAGAUUGAGAGUAUCUUCCACAUUAUCUCUCAAGGUGCCUUGCAAACAUUAAAGACUGAAUAUAUGUUUGAAGAAGAAACGUUUGAUAAAUUGCUUUAAGAUUACAUUCUAUAUUAAGACAACUCCAAAGACCUCUCUAAUUUUUAUUUACUUUUAAUUGUUCAAAGUAAUUAUCAGCAAAUGGUACUAAUAAAUCAACAAUUCAACCAUAAAUAGCCUCGGUCUUGAAUUUUGACGUUAGAAUUUCUAGAUUCAAAUUUUGACUCUGCAACUUAAUAACUCUGUAUUCUUAGGUAAAUAAUUUAGCCUUAUUAAAGUAUAGAUUUUCCUCUUUUAUAAAUGAAAAAGAUAAUCCCCCUUAUUAUCACAUAUUGUUCUGUUAACUUUAAAAUCUUAAUUGCCAUCAUUCUCUUGGAACACACUAAUCCAAGUAGCUGCCAUAAAUAUACAUCUUAGAGCUCUGAUAGUCUUAAAAUGGAAAGUAAAUUUAAAAAUGUCACAAGCAAAUAAGAAUUCUUUUUAGUAUGGAUAAUUAUUCAAGUACUAACUUCAGUUCUUUGGUUUGCUUACUCAAUUUCUAUUAAAAUGGUCAAACUUCCAAUGGACAUAAGAAGUUAUUUUGGACUUUUCAGGCAAACUGAUCUGAUAAGUAUGCACU